UACGUAGGGUCCGAGCGUUGUCCGGAAUUAUUGGGCGUAAAGGGCUCGUAGGCGGUUUGUCGCGUCGGGAGUGAAAACUCAGGGCUCAACCCUGAGCGUGCUUCCGAUACGGACAGACUAGAGGUAUGCAGGGGAGAACGGAAUUCCUGGUGUAGCGGUGGAAUGCGCAGAUAUCAGGAGGAACACCGGUGGCGAAGGCGGUUCUCUGGGCAUGACCUGACGCUGAGGAGCGAAAGCAUGGGGAGCGAACAGG
rnacentral:rRNA from 1 species